rnacentral:rRNA from 1 species
UACGGAGGGGGCAAGCGUUGUUCGGAAUUACUGGGCGUAAAGCGUGCGCAGGCGGUUCGUUAAGUUCGUUGUGAAAGCCCCGGGCUCAACCUGGGAACUGCAAUGGAAACUGGCGGGCUUGAGUGUGGCAGAGGGGGGUGGAAUUCCGCGUGUAGCAGUGAAAUGCGUAGAGAUGCGGAGGAACACCGAUGGCGAAGGCAGCCCCCUGGGCCAACACUGACGCUCAGGCACGAAAGCGUGGGGAGCAAACAGG